GCAUCAUUUUUCUUCACGGUAACUGUCUAUUCAUCUAUUUUCCAAGUUUUUUUGCUCUAACGUUCGUUUCUUAACCAUCAGGAAAGCAAUCAGUUCAUUGAUUAGAGUGAAGGACAUUUGAUGCUUUGGAGUUUUAGUUGAUCAGAAGAAGUUUCACUUGCACACUUUUGCAAUCAUGGAUGCAAAUGGUUCCAUUGAUGAUAAGUGUGAAAGUAGACUUUAUAUUGGCAACCUUGAUCUAAGAAUUACAGAGUAAGACUUAUAAUAACUCCUAGAAAGGCUUAAGUUUAUGAGCGCCAAGAGUUGUGGGUCGGAAAGUAGUCCACGAGUUUUGGUUUCAUGCUGAGACAACACGUUAAGGAUGAAUCUUCAAGAAUGUAUGGACCAAUAAAAGAGUUGGUGACAGAAGAGAAUCCUCCAAUUUAUAAGGAAAUGAAAAUGCCGAACUUGGUAAAAGUGGUGUAUACCACAAAGCUAGAUUACGAUGUCUUCUCUUCACUAAAACACUUAGACUAUGAAGUAUCAAGAAUUAAAGAUACUCCUGUAUGAAACUAUAUUAAUUACAAACUUUUUUGAGGGGUGUUAGAGUGAGAGAUUCAACAUUUACGGUUUUAAAAACUCUCAUGUCUUAUUUCUAAAUAAAAGUCCCUUCGAAAUUCAUUUGGUGUAUGUUAAACUAGAUGAUGUGAGGAGUUAUUUAUAGAAUGGGAAAGUAUGAGGAGCCAAUGAGAUAUUUAUACAAUGUGUACAAUGGAGAUUUAUAGAGUAUUAGAGAUAUAAUUAUUAGUGUUACAUUUUUCUAUCAGCAGAAGCUUUUGGGAUGAGUGGUAUCAUGACAUGGUAUUAAAGCGCUAGAUCCGAAAGGUCAAGAGUUCGAUCCUUGGUGAACCCAAAAAUUAAACUAAUUUUUCGAGAAGAUGUUUAUUAUCCCUUGU